CGUAGGGUGCGAGCGUUAAUCGGAAUUACUGGGCGUAAAGCGUGCGCAGGCGGUUUUGUAAGACAGGUGUGAAAUCCCCGGGCUUAACCUGGGAACUGCGCUUGUGACUGCAAGACUCGAGUACGGCAGAGGGGGGUGGAAUUCCACGUGUAGCAGUGAAAUGCGUAGAGAUGUGGAGGAACACCGAUGGCGAAGGCAGCCCCCUGGGUCGAUACUGACGCUCAUGCACGAAAGCGUGGGGAGCAAACAGGAUUAGAUACCCUGGUAGUCCACGCCCUAAACGAUGCGAACUAGGUGUUGGAGAAGGAGACUUCUUUAGUACCGCAGCUAACGCGUGAAGUUCGCCGCCUGGGGAGUACGGUCGCAAAGAUUAA
rnacentral:rRNA from 1 species